UACAUGGGGUGCAAACGUUGCUCGGAAUUAUUGGGCGUAAAGCGCACGUAGGCGGACUCUUAAGUCAGGGGUGAAAUCCUGGAGCUCAACUCCAGAACUGCCUUUGAUACUGAGGAUCUUGAGUUCGGGAGAGGUGAGUGGAACUGCGAGUGUAGAGGUGAAAUUCGUAGAUAUUCGCAAGAACACCAGUGGCGAAGGCGGCUCACUGGCCCGAGUACUGACGCUGAGGCACGAAAGCGUGGGGAGCAAACAGGGAUUAAGA
rnacentral:rRNA from 1 species